AUGACAUAUUUUUAUUUUAUUUUAUAUAUGCUCACCGUAUCCCCGAAUGACUGUAUUUGGAAAAUGCCGUAUCCCGUAUCCCUGUAUGCGUAUCCCCAACUUUCCGUCCCCGUGUCCGUGCUUUUUAGCCUAUGGGUAACAAUGAAAGAAUACUACUGCUAUAAAUUCCAUACACGACCAGGCAUAUUCAACCCAAUUUUGCAUGGCGGACGCCUUUUCCAGCAGUUUGCUGUAGAUACAUACAACAAGAUUGAAAGCUCCAGACUGGAUUACAUCUGGCAUAAUCAAAAGAAAAUAAGGGCUGACCUAUACCAAGGCCUUCUAGACAGCAUUCAAGCUGGAGAACAGAAUGGAGAUGCUGUCGGAAAACAGAGAGUACUUGCCUCGUCAUUUAUUGGAAGACCACGAGAUAAACUUCGUCGAUAUCUCGACGCUAUGGCUUUAGUUAGAAAAUAUGGUAAGCCAGACGUAUUCCUAACAAUGACCUGCAACCCCAACUGGGAGGAGAUAACACAUGAACUAGAGAAUGGACAAACAGCACAAGAUCGCCCAGACAUUGUAGUUCGUGUUUUCAGGGCGAAGCUACAAGAAAUGAAGAAGGAACUAUUUGAGAAGGGCAUUCUUGGAAAGGUUCAGGCAUAUACAUAUGUCGUAGAGUUCCAAAAGAGGGGAUUACCCCAUGCUCACUUUUUGCUCAUCAUGACUCGAAAAUACAAGUACACAUGUCCAGAGCAGUAUGACAGAAUCAUAUCCGCAGAGCUCCCUAACAAGCACAAGUACCCAGAACUAUACAAGAUGGUAAUCAAACAUAUGAUGCAUGGUCCUUGCGGUGCAUUGAACAAAUUUUGUCCAUGCUCAAAGAAUCGUCCAUCAUGCAAGAACAAUUAUCCAAGACCAUUUAACGAAACUACGAUUCAAGGCAAGGACUACCCAAUAUAUAGGAGACGCAACGAUGGCCGGACUGAAACGGUCCGAAAUUGCAAACUAGAUAACAUGUGGGUAGUUCCUUACAAUCCCUAUCUGUUAAGGAUGUUCAACUGCCACAUAAAUGUUGAGAUAUGCUCAAGCAUUAAAGCCGUGAAAUACCUCUUCAAGUACAUCUACAAGGGUCAUGACCGAGCAUCCGUAUCCGUAACAGACAAAGUAGACGAAGAAGAAAUCGACGAGAUUAAGCAGUACAGAGACGCCCACUAG
rnacentral:rRNA from 1 species